UUGAACGCUGGCGGCAUGCUUUACACAUGCAAGUCGAACGGCAGCACGGGGGCAACCCUGGUGGCGAGUGGCGAACGGGUGAGUAAUAUAUCGGAACAUAUCCGGGAGUGGGGGAUAACGUAGCGAAAGUUACGCUAAUACCGCAUAUGCCCUGAGGGGGAAAGUGGGGGAUCGCAAGACCUCGCGCGGACGGAGCGGCCGAUGGCAGAUUAGGUAGUUGGUGGGAUAAAAGCUUACCAAGCCGACGAUCUGUAGCUGGUCUGAGAGGACGACCAGCCACACUGGGACUGAGACACGGCCCAGACUCCUACGGGAGGCAGCAGUGGGGAAUUUUGGACAAUGGGCGAAAGCCUGAUCCAGCCAUGCCGCGUGCAGGAUGAAGGCCUUCGGGUUGUAAACUGCUUUUGUACGGAACGAAAAAGUCUUCUCUAAUACAGGGGGCGAAUGACGGUACCGUAAGAAUAAGCACCGGCUAACUACGU
rnacentral:rRNA from 1 species